rnacentral:rRNA from 1 species
GACGAACGCUGGCGGCGUGCUUAACACAUGCAAGUCGAACGGAAAGGCCCUGCUUUUGUGGGGUGCUCGAGUGGCGAACGGGUGAGUAACACGUGAGUAACCUGCCCUUGACUUUGGGAUAACUUCAGGAAACUGGGGCUAAUACCGGAUAGGAGCUCCUGCUGCAUGGUGGGGGUUGGAAAGUUUCGGCGGUUGGGGAUGGACUGGCGGCUUAUCAGCUUGUUGGGGGGGUAGUGGCUUACCAAGGCUUUGACGGGUAGCCGGCCUGAGAGGGUGACCGGGCACAUUGGGACUGCGAGACGGACCAGACUCCUACGGGAGGCAGCAGUGGGGAAUAUUGCCCAAUGGGCGGAAGCCUGAUGCGACAACGCCGCGUGCGGGAAGACGGCCUUCGGGUUGUAAACCGCUUUCGCCUGUGACGAAGCGUGAGUGACGGUAAUGGGUAAAGAAGCACCGGCUAACUACGUG